rnacentral:rRNA from 1 species
AUGAACGCUGGCGGCGCGCCUAACACAUGCAAGUCGAACGGCACCCCUCUCCGGAGGGAAGCGAGUGGCGAACGGCUGAGUAACACGUGGAGAACCUGCCCCCUCCCCCGGGAUAGCCGCCCGAAAGGACGGGUAAUACCGGAUACCCCGGGGUGCCGCAUGGCACCCCGGCUAAAGCCCCGACGGGAGGGGAUGGCUCCGCGGCCCAUCAGGUAGACGGCGGGGUGACGGCCCACCGUGCCGACAACGGGUAGCCGGGUUGAGAGACCGACCGGCCAGAUUGGGACUGAGACACGGCCCAGACUCCUACGGGAGGCAGCAGUGGGGAAUCUUGCGCAAUGGGGGGAACCCUGACGCAGCGACGCCGCGUGCGGGACGGAGGCCUUCGGGUCGUAAACCGCUUUCAGCAGGGAAGAGUCAAGACUGUACCUGCAGAAGAAGCCCCGGCUAACUACGUGCCAGCAGCCGCGGUAAUACGUAGGGGGCGAGCGUUAUCCGGAUUCAUUGGGCGUAAAGCGCGCGUAGGCGGCCCGGCAGGCCGGGGGUCGAAGCGGGGGGCUCAACCCCCCGAAGCCCCCGGAACCUCCGCGGCUUGGGUCCGGUAGGGGAGGGUGGAACACCCGGUGUAGCGGUGGAAUGCGCAGAUAUCGGGUGGAACACCGGUGGCGAAGGCGGCCCUCUGGGCCGAGACCGACGCUGAGGCGCGAAAGCUGGGGGAGCGAACAGGAUUAGAUACCCUGGUAGUCCACGCCGUAAACGAUGACUACUAGGUGUCGGGCAGCAAAGCUGUUCGGUGCCGCAGCAAACGCAAUAAGUAGUCCACCUGGGGAGUACGUUCGCAAGAAUGAAACUCAAAGGAAUUGACGGGGACCCGCACAAGCGGUGGAGCAUGUGGUUUAAUUCGAUGAUACGCGAGGAACCUUACCCGGGCUUAAAUUGCAGAUGAAUUACGGUGAAAGCCGUAAGCCGCAAGGCAUCUGUGAAGGUGCUGCAUGGUUGUCGUCAGCUCGUGUCGUGAGAUGUUGGGUUAAGUCCCGCAACGAGCGCAACCCCCGCCGCGUGUUGCCAUCGGGUGAUGCCGGGAACCCACGCGGGACCGCCGCCGUCAAGGCGGAGGAGGGCGGGGACGACGUCAAGUCAUCAUGCCCCUUAUGCCCUGGGCUGCACACGUGCUACAAUGGCCGGUACAGAGGGAUGCCACCCCGCGAGGGGGAGCGGAUCCCGGAAAGCCGGCCCCAGUUCGGAUUGGGGGCUGCAACCCGCCCCCAUGAAGUCGGAGUUGCUAGUAAUCGCGGAUCAGCAUGCCGCGGUGAAUGCGUUCCCGGGCCUUGUACACACCGCCCGUCACACCACCCGAGUCGUCUGCACCCGAAGUCGCCGGCCCAACCGCAAGGGGGGAGGCGCCGAAGGUGUGGAGGGUGAGGGGGGUG